GAGUUUGAUCGUGGCUCAGGAUGAACGCUGGCGGCGUGCCUAAUACAUGCAAGUCGAACGAACAGAUAAGGAGCUUGCUCCUUUGACGUUAGCGGCGGACGGGUGAGUAACACGUGGGUAACCUACCUAUAAGACUGGGAAUAACUCCGGGAAACCGGGGCUAAUGCCGGAUAACAUGUUGAACCGCAUGGUUCUACAGUGAAAGACGGUCUUGCUGUCACUUAUAGAUGGACCCGCGCCGUAUUAGCUAGUUGGUGGGGUAACGGCCGUACCAAGGCGACGAUACGUAGCCGACCUGAGAGGGUGAUCGGCCACACUGGAACUGAGACACGGUCCAGACUCCUACGGGAGGCAGCAGUAGGGAAUCUUCCGCAAUGGGCGAAAGCCUGACGGAGCAACGCCGCGUGAGUGAUGAAGGUCUUCGGAUCGUAAAGCUCUGUUGUUAGGGAAGACAAAUGUGUAAGUAACUGUGCAUAUCUUGACGGUACCUAACCAGAAAGCCACGGCUAACUACGUGCCAGCCGCCGCCGUAAU
rnacentral:rRNA from 1 species